rnacentral:rRNA from 1 species
GAAUUUUGCACAAUGGCCGAAAGGCUGAUGCAGCAACGCCGCGUGAGUGAAGAAGGCCUUCGGGUUGUAAAGCUCUGUUGACCGGGAAGAACGGCGUAAUCAGGAAAUGGGUUACGUUUGACGGUACCGGUAGAGGAAGCCCCGGCUAACUACGUGCCAGCAGCCGCGGUAAGACGUAGGGGGCUAGCGUUGUCCGGAAUCACUGGGCGUAAAGAGCUCGUAGGCGGUCUGUUAAGUCGGGUGUGAAAGCCCUCGGCUCAACCGAGGAAUUGCACUCGAUACUGGCAGGCUAGAGUCAAGCAGAGGGAAGUGGAAUUCCCGGUGUAGCGGUGAAAUGCGCAGAUAUCGGGAAGAACACCGGUGGCGAAGGCGGCUUCCUGGGCUUGUACUGACGCUGAGGAGCGAAAGCUAGGGGAGCGAACAG